rnacentral:rRNA from 1 species
CCUACGGGUGGCAGCAGUGAGGAAUAUUGGUCAAUGGCCGGAAGGCUGAACCAGCCAAGCCGCGUGAAGGACGAAGGUGCAAAGCAGGGUAAACUUCUUUUGUCAAGGGACAAAAUCAGGCGCGAGAGCCUGACCGAGGGUACUUGAAGAAAAAGCAUCGGCUAACUCCGUGCCAGCAGCCGCGGUAAUACGGAGGAUGCGAGCGUUCUCCGGAUUUAUUGGGUGUAAAGGGUGCGUAGGCGGGCUGUUAAGUCAGCGGUAAAAGCCCGGGGCUCACCCCCGGCGAGCCGUUGAAACUGGCUGUCUUGAGCUGUCUAGAGGUAUGCGGCAUGCGCCUUGUAGCGG